CUUAGGCGUGUGACUGCGUACCUUUUGUAUAAUGGGUCAGCGACUUAUAUUCUGUAGCAAGGUUAACCGAAUAGGGGAGCCGAAGGGAAACCGAGUCUUAACUGGGCGUUAAGUUGCAGGGUAUAGACCCGAAACCCGGUGAUCUAGCCAUGGGCAGGUUGAAGGUUGGGUAACACUAACUGGAGGACCGAACCGACUAAUGUUGAAAAAUUAGCGGAUGACUUGUGGCUGGGGGUGAAAGGCCAAUCAAACCGGGAGAUAGCUGGUUCUCCCCGAAAGCUAUUUAGGUAGCGCCUCGUGAAUUCAUCUCCGGGGGUAGAGCACUGUUUCGGCAAGGGGGUCAUCCCGACUUACCAACCCGAUGCAAACUGCGAAUACCGGAGAAUGUUAUCACGGGAGACACACGGCGGGUGCUAACGUCCGUCGUGAAGAGGGAAACAACCCAGACCGCCAGCUAAGGUCCCAAAGUCAUGGUUAAGUGGGAAACGAUGUGGGAAGGCCCAGACAGCCAGGAUGUUGGCUUAGAAGCAGCCAUCAUUUAAAGAAAGCGUAAUAGCUCACUGGUCGAGUCGGCCUGCGCGGAAGAUGUAACGGGGCUAAACCAUGCACCGAAGCUGCGGCAGCGACGCUGAUGCGUUGUUGGGUAGGGGAGCGUUCUGUAAGCCUGUGAAGGUGUGCUGUGAGGCAUGCUGGAGGUAUCAGAAGUGCGAAUGCUGACAUAAGUAACGAUAAAGCGGGUGAAAAGCCCGCUCGCCGGAAGACCAAGGGUUCCUGUCCAACGUUAAUCGGGGCAGGGUGAGUCGACCCCUAAGGCGAGGCCGAAAGGCGUAGUCGAUGGGAAACAGGUUAAUAUUCCUGUACUUGGUGUUACUGCGAAGGGGGGACGGAGAAGGCUAUGUUGGCCGGGCGACGGUUGUCCCGGUUUAAGCGUGUAGGCUGGUUUUCCAGGCAAAUCCGGAAAACUAAGGCUGAGGCGUGAUGACGAGGCACUACGGUGCUGAAGCAACAAAUGCCCUGCUUCCAGGAAAAGCCUCUAAGCAUCAGGUAACAUCAAAUCGUACCCCAAACCGACACAGGUGGUCAGGUAGAGA
rnacentral:rRNA from 1 species